GGGAUUGUGGGAGGUGUAGUUCGCCGCGAAGUGCGGCGCUCUCCGUCCUCCGCCGCGCGGGGGCAGCGAAAAUGUGGCGGUGGCCUGAACUGUGGAGAGCAGAGUGGAAAUACAUGUUGAAAUAUUUAUGGAUAAAGGGAUAUGAUGUCUGCAAAUUACUCUCCAAUGACUUAGAAAUAAACACAUGUACAGAGCAAGGGAGAAAGAGAGCAAACAAUAAGUGACAUGGACUGAAAUGUUCGUUGGAGAAAAUGGGUGCUGGGUUUAUGCUUUCAGAUGAAGCAACCAGAAUAAAUAAAAUCUUUUUGGGGCUCAUAGAUCAGGUAAUACAACUUCUCAUACUCUGUAAGAGCCCAGAAGAUGAAUACACUUACAGAAACCUCUUCUCCUUCAAGAAGUUCUUCAAUGACAAUUGUUUCUCCAGCUGCUCCAUAAGCUUUCUCCUUGCAGAUGAAAAAAAAGAAAGUUAAGUUUUUAAUAUUUACUUAA